rnacentral:rRNA from 1 species
AUUGAACGCUGGCGGCAUGCCUUACACAUGCAAGUCGAACGACGCUAGGGGCAACUCUAGCGAGUGGCGAACGGGUGAGUAAUACAUCGGAACGUGUCCUGUCGUGGGGGAUAACCAGUCGAAAGACUGGCUAAUACCGCAUGACCUCGUAAGAGAAAAGCGGGGGACCGCAAGGCCUCGCGCGAUUGGAGCGGCCGAUGUCGGAUUAGCUAGUUGGCGGGGUAAUGGCCCACCAAGGCGACGAUCCGUAGCUGGUUUGAGAGAACGACC